GCCAGGUACAUUGGCACACAACUGUAGUUUCAUCUACUAGGAAGACCGAGGCAGGAGGAUCGCUUGAGCCUGGGAGUUCUGGGCUGUAAUGUGCUAUAUACAAAUGGGGUGCCCACACUAAGUUAGGCAUCAACAUGGUGACCUCCCAGGAGUGGGAGACCACCAGGUUGCCUAAGGAGGAGUGAACCACUCAGGUUGGAAAUGAAGCAGAUCGAAACUCCCGUUCUGAUCGGUAGUGGGAUCAUGCCUGUGAAUAGGCAACUCUAGCCUGGGCAACACAGUGAGACCCCAUCU
rnacentral:SRP_RNA from 10 species